rnacentral:rRNA from 1 species
GGUAAUACCUGAUGAUCCCGACGGGUCGCAUGAGCUGUCGGGCAAAGCUCCGGCGGCUGGGGAUCGGCCCAUGUCGUAUCAGCUUGUUGGUGGGGUAACGGCCUACCAAGGCAACGACGGGUAGCGGGACUGAGAGGUUGGUCCGCCACAUCGGGACUGAGACACUGCCCGGACACCUACGGGUGGCUGCAGUAACGGAUAUUCCGCAAUGGGCGCAAGCCUGACGGAGCGACGCCGCGUGGAGGACGAAGUCCUUCGGGAUGUAAACUCCUUUUAGGGGGAAGCCGGCGCUGAUCGAACCCAGAAAAAGCCUGGGCUAACUCCGUGCCAGCAGCCGCGGUAAUACGGAGCAGGCAAGCGUUGUUCGGAAUCACUGGGCUUAAAGCGCGUGUAGGCGGCCUGGCAAGUACCCUGUGAAAGCCCUCGGCUCAACCGAGGAAUUGCAGGGCAAACUGCUCGUCUUGAGGCAGGUAGGGGUGCAUGGAACUCUAGGUGGAGCGGUGAAAUGCGUAGAUAUCUAGAGGAACGCCGGUGGCGAAAGCGGUGCACUGGGCCUGAUCUGACGCUGAGACGCGAAAGCGUAGGGAGCGAACGGGAUUAGAUACCCCGGUAGUCUACGCCGUAAACGAUGCGCACUAGGUUUGAGACUCUCUGACGAGCCUCGUGCCGAAGCCAAAGUGAUAAGUGCGCCGCCUGGGGAGUACGGCCGCAAGGCUAAAACUCAAAGGAAUUGACGGGGGCUCACACAAGCGGUGGAGGAUGUUGCUUAAUUCGAAGCAACGCGAAGAACCUUACCAGGGUUUGACAUGCACGGCAUUAACCCCGGGAAAACCGGGCCACGCCCUUCGGGGUGGAACGUACACAGGUGCUGCAUGGCUGUCGUCAGCUCGUGCUGUGAAGUGUCGGGUUAAGUCCCUUAACGAGCGAAACCCCUGUCGCUAGUUGCCAACACGUAAUGGUGGGGACUCUAGCGAGACUGCCGGUGUCAAACCGGAGGAAGGUGGGGAUGACGUCAAGUCCUCAUGGCCUUUAUGUCCAGGGCUGCACACGUGCUACAAUGGCGUAUACAAAGCGACGCGAUACCGCGAGGUGGAGCAAAUCGCAAAAAGUACGCCCCAGUUCGGAUUGGAGUCUGCAACUCGACUCCAUGAAGUUGGAAUCGCUAGUAAUCGCGGAUCAGCUACGCCGCGGUGAAUACGUUCCUGAGCCUUGUACACACCGCCCGUCAAGUCAUGGAAGCCGGUAGCGCCCGAAGUGCGCUUAGCUAACCC